rnacentral:rRNA from 1 species
UACAGAGGUCCCAAGCGUUGUUCGGAUUCAUUGGGCGUAAAGGGUGCGUAGGCGGCGCGGUAAGUCGGGUGUGAAAUCUCGGAGCUUAACUCCGAAACUGCAUUCGAUACUGCCGUGCUUGAGGACUGGAGAGGAGACUGGAAUUUACGGUGUAGCGGUGAAAUGCGUAGAUAUCGUAAGGAAGACCAGUGGCGAAGGCGGGGUCUCUGGACAGUUCCUGACACUGAGACACGAAGGCCAGGGGAGCAAACGGG